GAUGAACGCUGGCGGCGUGCCUAAUACAUGCAAGUAGAACGCUGAAGGAGGAGCUUGCUCUUCUGGAUGAGUUGCGAACGGGUGAGUAACGCGUAGGUAACCUGCCUGGUAGCGGGGGAUAACUAUUGGAAACGAUAGCUAAUACCGCAUGACAACAGUUAUUGCAUGAUAACUGUUUAAAAGGGGCAACUGCUCCACUACCAGAUGGACCUGCGUUGUAUUAGCUAGUUGGUGAGGUAACGGCUCACCAAGGCGACGAUACAUAGCCGACCUGAGAGGGUGAUCGGCCACACUGGAACUGAGACACGGCCCAGACUCCUACGGGAGGCAGCAGUAGGGAAUCUUCGGCAAUGGACGGAAGUCUGACCGAGCAACGCCGCGUGAGUGAAGAAGGUGUUCGGAUCGUAAAGCUCUGUUGUAAGAGAAGAACGAGUGUGAGAGUGGAAAGUUCACACUGUGACGGUAUCUUACCAGAAAGGGACGGCUAACUACGU
rnacentral:rRNA from 1 species